rnacentral:lncRNA from 1 species
GGUAUGCCUGCAGCAUCUUUAGUGACCCCUGCUGAUGUUAUCAAGACGAGAUUACAGGUGGCUGCCCGGGCUGGCCAAACCACUUACAGCGGAGUGAUAGACUGCUUUAGAAAGAUACUGCGUGAAGAAGGACCAAAAGCUCUGUGGAAGGGAGCUGGUGGUAUGGAAAUAAUGUGUUCUUAACUAACUCUUUGGUAUCAGGUAAAUUUUUAAAAUAUCUAAUUAUAUCUGUGAUUUCUCCAUUUUUUUAAAGCUCGUGUAUUUCGAUCCUCACCCCAGUUUGGUGUAACUUUGCUGACUUACGAAUUGCUACAGCGAUGGUUCUACAUUGAUUUUGGAGGAGUAAAACCCAUGGGAUCAGAGCCAGUUCCUAAAUCCAGGAUCAACCUGCCUGCCCCGAAUCCUGAUCACGUUGGGGGCUACAAACUGGCAGUUGCUACAUUUGCAGGGAUUGAAAACAAAUUUGGACUUUACCUACCUCUCUUCAAGCCAUCAGUAUCUACCUCAAAGGCUAUUGGUGGAGGCCCAUAGGAAGAUCAGCCCUGGGAUAGUGCUGUCUUUUUGUGGGUACUGCAGUAAAGAACAUCCCUCCUGGGAAUGAAGCAAUGCUUCAUCCCUUUUACGUCCAUCUCUUGUUUAAAUUCAAGUCCAGGCUUUUUUAUCAUGUGAAAUCAUUCAUUUUCUGGGUGUUUUCUUAACCAGAUCAUUGUGAAAUUAUUCAUAAUUAUUAUUUGGCCCUCUGCCCAGAAACCUUUGUUUGCAUCUG